UCGCUCCCGAGGUCUAUGUGGCACAAACAGUGAGCCCCUUCGGCUCUCAUUGUCUCCGAAAAUGCUAUGUUCAUCGUCGGCAAAUUCUGUUUCAGAUCCAAUAUCUUUUCCUCGACCUCUGAAACUAAAAAGACUUGUUCUGCUGCUCCGCCUUGCAGAAAACAAGGAGCCACGGAUGCUGAGUGGUGACUGCAAAAAAAAUUAGAGAUGACAUGUAUCUGCUGAAAAACCUAAAGACAGAAGUACAUUUCAUGUAACUACCAUUGAGAUCACUGACUUGAGGGCAGGUGGCUCGGCACCAGCUUAAGAGAAACAUUUUUAAAAACAAAGACAUUCAGCAAGAAGACAAAUUCUUCUAAAUAAGGAAUGAAAAAGCUGGAAGAAUGCAUCCGUUCAGGACCAGCACUUUUGGAGCUCAGCUUGGACGUUUCAGAAGAACUCUCCGAAAGGCCCAUUAUUCGGCUUCUCCCAAUGCUUGUGUAUUCAGCUGCUGCCAGUGCUAUUGCCUGUGGGACCAAAAGAUCACACACACAGUGA